CAACAAUCUCCUGCUGACAGUUUUGACAAAGAGGUUUUGCCACCCAUUGCCUUCCUAAGCCACCCCACCCUGUCCACUGCUCUUCUAGCUUGGUGGGAGCUGCCAGGACGGUGCCUUUCCCAGGCACAAUAACUAUUGGGGAACAACUGUGUUUCACAAGGAGCACCACUGACCCUAGAGAUGUCACGCCUUGCCUUCGAAAUGGGCAACAGAGAAGGAUCUGGCCACCUGUAUGCAGAGCAUCAGCCCUUCUGGGGAGUUAUGAAGCUGGUGCUGAGAAGUUUUCAUGGUCUGAGACUUCUGGGACUUCAGUGGAAGCUCUCUUCAUUCCAGCCUCAUUCCCAGUGAAGGAUAGGAUGACACAAGCAAUGUC